rnacentral:rRNA from 1 species
AUUGAACGCUGGCGGCAGGCCUAACACAUGCAAGUCGAGCGGUUGAGGGGAGCUUGCUCCCUGAUUCAGCGGCGGACGGGUGAGUAAUGCCUAGGAAUCUGCCUAUUAGUGGGGGACAACGUUUCGAAAGGAACGCUAAUACCGCAUACGUCCUACGGGAGAAAGCAGGGGACCUUCGGGCCUUGCGCUAAUAGAUGAGCCUAGGUCGGAUUAGUUAGUUGGUGAGGUAAUGGCUCACCAAGGCGACGAUCCGUAACUGGUCUGAGAGGAUGAUCAGUCAAACUGGAACUGAGACACGGUCCAGACUCCUACGGGAGGCAGCAGUGGGGAAUAUUGGACAAUGGGCGAAAGCCUGAUCCAGCCAUGCCGCGUGUGUGAAGAAGGUCUUCGGAUUGUAAAGCACUUUAAGUUGGGAGGAAGGGUUGUAGAUUAAUACUCUGCAAUUUUGACGUUACCGACAGAAUAAGCACCGGCUAACUCUGUGCCAGCCGCCGCCGUAACAC